AUAGUACAAGAUUGACUGUUGGGCUCAGGAAGCCUAAAACUUCCAGUCAAUUGUUUUAGGCUUUCUGAGCCCAACAGUCAAUCUUGUACUAU